rnacentral:misc_RNA from 1 species
GAAAUGCGAUAAGUAGUGUGAAUUGCAGAAUUCAGUGAAUCAUCGAAUCUUUGAACGCACAUUGCGCCUUCCGGUAUUCCGGGAGGCAUGCCUGUCCGAACGUCAUCAAGCCCCUCGCCCGCAGCCGUUGCCUGCAACGGAAGCCCUGGGCGGUGCCUGGCUGAUGGGCGCCCUUACCGGCACCCACAGCCGAAAUGCAUUGGCAGAUCCUCCUAGACUGUGAUUGUGAUAAGAAUCUUACCUGCAAUCGCCAGACUGAGAGAGGUUUCGCCGCAAGCAGUCGUGACUCUCCCUCCACGGGGACGAUAGACUAUUUACCACAUCUUUUGACUUCGGAUCAGGUAGGGAUACCCGCUGAACUUAA